rnacentral:rRNA from 1 species
ACGGGAGGCAGCAGUGGGGAAUAUUGGGCAAUGGGCGAAAGCCUGACCCAGCAACGCCGCGUGAAGGAAGAAGGUCUUCGGAUUGUAAACUUCUUUUAUGAGGGACGAAGGAAUUGACGGUACCUCAUGAGUAAGCCACGGCUAACUACGUGCCAGCAGCCGCGGUAAUACGUAGGUGGCAAGCGUUAUCCGGAUUUACUGGGUGUAAAGGGCGCGUAGGCGGGGAAGCAAGUCAGAUGUGAAAUCCAUGGGCUCAACUCAUGAACUGCAUUUGAAACUGUUUUUCUUGAGUGUCGGAGAGGUAGAUGGAAUUCCUAGUGUAGCGGUGAAAUGCGUAGAUAUUAGGAAGAACACCAGUGGCGAAGGCGAUCUACUGGACGAUAACUGACGCUGAGGCGCGAAAGCGUGGGGAGCAAACAGGAUUAGAUACCCUGGUA